CCCUUAGAUGUCCUGGGCCGCACGCGCGCUACACUGAUGCAUUCAACGAGUGACCUUAGCCGAGAGGCCUGGGCAAUCUUUUGAACGUGCAUCGUGAUAGGGAUAGAUUAUUGCAAUUAUUAAUCUUGAACGAGGAAUUCCUAGUAAACGCAGAUCAUCAUUCUGCAUUGAUUACGUCCCUGCCCUUUGUACACACCGCCCGUCGCUCCUACCGAUUGAAUGUUCCGGUGAGCUCUUCGGACUGCGCGGUCUGCAGUUUCUGCGUUCCGUGCGGAAAGUUGCGCAAACCUUAACAUUUAGAGGAAGGAGAAGUCGUAACA
rnacentral:rRNA from 1 species